UGGAGAGUUUGAUCCUGGCUCAGAACGAACGCUGGCGGCAUGCCUAACACAUGCAAGUCGAACGAAGGCUUCGGCCUUAGUGGCGCACGGGUGAGUAACACGUGGGAACCUGCCUUAUGGUUCGGGAUAACGUCUGGAAACGGACGCUAACACCGGAUGUGCCCCCCAGAGAGAUUUGGGUGGGGAAAGUUUACGCCAUGAGAGGGGCCCGCGUCCGAUUAGGUAGUUGGUGGGGUAAUGGCCCACCAAGCCGACGAUCGGUAGCUGGUCUGAGAGGAUGAUCAGCCACACUGGGACUGAGACACGGCCCAGACUCCUACGGGAGGCAGCAGUGGGGAAUAUUGGACAAUGGGGGCAACCCUGAUCCAGCAAUGCCGCGUGAGUGAUGAAGGCCUUAGGGUUGUAAAGCUCUUUCGCACGCGACGAUGAUGACGGUAGCGUGAGAAGAAGCCCCGGCUAACUUCGUGCCAGCAGCCGCGGUA
rnacentral:rRNA from 1 species